ACCCAGCUGACGAGUCCUAAGUACGACGAAACGCGCGUCCUGUAU
rfam:Schistosoma mattheei strain Denwood, Zambia genome assembly, scaffold: SMTD_scaffold0004650